CAAGAAAGAGAUGGAGGGUAUAGAGAAGGGAACGAUGAUUAGCAGGGUUGGGGUUAAUGCCAUUACAAUUCAGGAAGUAAAUUCCAAUUCAAUAAUUUGCAAAUUGUUAUUAGAAACCAUUAUUAUUUUAUGCCUAUGUGUUCCACCUUAACCUCUGUUGAUCUACAGUAUGGUCCUCCGGUUUACGAGUCACCCUCAUCGCCAGGCACUUCAGUAAAUUCACCGGCACCCGCUUCCUCAAGAGAGGAGCCAACUGCGAGGUACCCCUCCACCACAUCCCGUUGCCAUGAUAACAGGACAAACUCUGGAAACGAGAGAAGAGGAAGCAUGAUAAGAUCCUUCCUGAGGAGCUCUUCCCAGCAGUCAUCAACCUCAACCAGUUCCUCUCUCCAGAACAUUACAUUGACUACAUCGCCUGGGACAUGGCCCGGAACUGCAAGAGACAUCUGACGUUCUGAGUAGCUCUGGGGUUUCUCGCUUGGAGGCUACCAUGCUGCUCUCUGGAGGGCCAGCCUUCUAAGACAACCACAAUUUUUUUUUAAAGCAGGAAAGAGAAUGGAAGAAAAGGAUUUUGGGCUCUGCUGGGGAAGAGGCAGGACAAUACUGGUUACUCAGCCAGCCUUGGUUGGCCUGUAACCUUGUCUCCUGUAUGAGAUGUCAGCAUGACCGCUUAUAUAAUCUGUUAUCAGGCUAGUACAGCUAGGUCUUAAUACUGUAUCUCUAGCUUUGAUUAGAUUGCAUCUUGAGUUCAACCCCAUCAAAUCAAGACAUGGAUGGAAAAAACAUUAGCGUAUGAUGCUUUGCAUAAGAGCAUGGGGCUGGACUUGGCAAUGAAGCAAGCCUAGAGUGACUAAAUUGAUAAGCAGAGAAGAUUGGAUGUUAAUCUGGAUGGUAAUGAAAGAGAGGCUCUACUCAUAGCAUAUGUUCCUCUGGUUGUUAUCAUAGAGUGCUUUAGGCCAUUGUGGAAUUGGAUAAUUACUCCUUGAUGCACCUGUCCUAAAUGUGUUCAGAUUCAGAAACUUAAGAGUUGUGCCAUCUCUAGAAAAUUGGAGUAUAAAAGUUCAACAAACAUACUAAACAUACCCUCCUCGGAUGGGGAGACCUUGCUGGAUGUCUCACCUCAAGUGGGCACAUAUCAACUUACUGUUUUCCUGUGGCUUGGCUGCUCCUAGCAUGACAGCCAUGUUUUUUCCCCUAAACUGUUUUGUAGCUUAUAUAAAUAAGGAAUGAUGG
rnacentral:lncRNA from 1 species